CCUCUGUAUUGCAGGGGGGGGCGUUUUCGCCAGCGAUAUUCCUCCAUAUCUAUACAUAUUUCUGCGCCACGCGGAAAUGUAUCCCCCCCCUCUACAAGUCUAUCGCAUCAGAGUUGAGAACGCAGUUCCCAGGGUGACCGGGGAUUUCACAUAUCAGUUGUGACACCCCGCGUGUGUGCUCUCUCCCCCGAAAAAGUAAGAUUAACGAUUACCCUCUGUGUUUUCCCGCGGCUGGGGGCGCAGCCUUCCCCGGCGUCUUUUGUGAGAAUAAUAAAACUCAGUGGGGUGAUAAACCACAAUGCUUUCCUUCUCGGAAAAAGUUCUUCACACCCAGGGGGCUUUUUUUAUACACGCGGCGGGGAUGUAAGAGGCGGGCGCCCAGCGCGCAAUCUCCACACCCACCCCUCCUCAGAGAGUUAGAUCAUGGCUCUGUCAGAGUGUGGGCGGUCAUUCUCUCAGCACCAAUAGAUAUUGUCGCACAGGUGACACAUUUUUGGGUGACGAGCGGCGGACGGGUGAGUAAUGUCUGGGAAAAGCCUGAUGGAGGGGGAUCUCUUCGGUAAACGGUAGCUAAUCCCGCAUAACGUCGCAAGACCAAAGAGUCGGACCUUCGGGCCUCAGGCCAUCAGAUGUGACCAGAUGGGAUUAGCUAGUAGGUGGGGUAACACUCACCUAGGCGACCGCUCCUAGCGGUCGAGAGGACCCCCCAG
rnacentral:rRNA from 1 species